GCAAGUCGAACGGUAACAGGCCGCAAGGUGCUGACGAGUGGCGAACGGGUGAGUAAUGCAUCGGAACGUGCCCAGUCGUGGGGGAUAACGCAGCGAAAGCUGCGCUAAUACCGCAUACGAUCUAUGGAUGAAAGCGGGGGACCGUAAGGCCUCGCGCGAUUGGAGCGGCCGAUGUCAGAUUAGGUAGUUGGUGGGGUAAAGGCUCACCAAGCCAACGAUCUGUAGCUGGUCUGAGAGGACGACCAGCCACACUGGAACUGAGACACGGUCCAGACUCCUACGGGAGGCAGCAGUGGGGAAUUUUGGACAAUGGGCGCAAGCCUGAUCCAGCAAUGCCGCGUGCAGGAAGAAGGCCUUCGGGUUGUAAACUGCUUUUGUACGGAACGAAACGGUCUGAGUUAAUACCUCGGGCUAAUGACGGUACCGUAAGAAUAAGCACCGGCUAACUACGUGCCAGCAGCCGCGGUAAUACGUAGGGUGCAAGCGUUAAUCGGAAUUACUGGGCGUAAAGCGUGCGCAGGCGGUGAUGUAAGACAGUCGUGAAAUCCCCGGGCUCAACCUGGGAAUUGCGAUUGUGACUGCAUCGCUGGAGUGCGGCAGAGGGGGAUGGAAUUCCGCGUGUAGCAGUGAAAUGCGUAGAUAUGCGGAGGAACACCGAUGGCGAAGGCAAUCCCCUGGGCCUGCACUGACGCUCAUGCACGAAAGCGUGGGGAGCAAACAGGAUUAGAUACCCUGGUAGUCCACGCCCUAAACGAUGUCAACUGGUUGUUGGGUCUCUUCUGACUCAGUAACGAAGCUAACGCGUGAAGUUGACCGCCUGGGGAGUACGGCCGCAAGGUUGAGACUCAAAGGAAUUGACGGGGACCCGCACAAGCGGUGGAUGAUGUGGUUUAAUU
rnacentral:rRNA from 1 species